UCCGAGUUGACCCCGGCAGUCUCCUAUGAGUCCCCGGCAUUAUCCGCUGGCAACAUAGAACGAGGGUUGCGCUCGUUGCGGGACUUAACCCAACAUCUCACGACACGAGCUGACGACAACCAUACACCACCUGUGCACGGCCCUUACGGACCUUCCAUCUCUGAAAGAUUUCCGUGCAUGUCAAGCCUAGGUAAGGUUCUUCGCGUUGCAUCGAAUUAAGCAACAUGCUCCGCCGCUUGUGCGGGCCCCCGUCAAUUCCUUUGAGUUUUAGCCUUGCGGCCGUACUCCCCAGGCGGGGCGCUUAAUGCGUUAGCUGCGGCACGGAACUCGUGGAAUGAGCCCCACACCUAGUGAACAUAGUUUAGGGCCAAGACUAC
rnacentral:misc_RNA from 1 species